AAAGAAUUAGUUUAUUAUAAAACAUUACUUUGUCAAAGUAAAAAAAUUUUUUUAAUAUUCUUUU
rnacentral:tRNA from 1 species